rnacentral:rRNA from 1 species
AAAGGGUGACGAAGCGACGCCGCGUGUGGGAAGAAGGCCUUCGGGUUGUAAACCACUGUCGGGAGUUAAGAAGUGUAAGGGUGUUAAGAGCAUCCUUGCUUGACGUUAGCUCCGGAGGAAGCCACGGCUAACUCUGUGCCAGCAGCCGCGGUAAUACAGAGGUGGCAAGCGUUGUUCGGAAUUAUUGGGCGUAAAGAGCACGUAGGCGGCCCUGCAAGUCAGCUGUGAAAUCCUUCUGCUCAACGGAAGAACGGCAGUUGAUACUACAGGGCUCGAGUGCGGGAGGGGAGAGUGGAACUUCUGGUGGAGCGGUGAAAUGCGUAGAUAUCAGAAGGAACAUCGGCGGCGAAAGCGACUCUCUGGCCCGUAACUGACGCUGAGGUGCGAAAGCUAGGGGAGCAAACGGGAUUAGAUACCCCGGNAGUCCUAGCCGUAAACGAUGGGCACUAAGUAGAGGGGUUU